rnacentral:rRNA from 1 species
CUUUAUGGCUAAACCUCCUCGUCUUCAAAGUCUGAUCUUGUCAGGUCUCAGAAGCUAAACAGGGUUGGGCCUGGUUAGUGUUUUGAUGGGAUCAAAGUAUGAAGGAUCACUGUGAAUAUCAGACGCCAGCAGCA